GAUUUCUGAUGCGACCCGCCUGGCCCGCCGUGGUUACACGUGCGAGUGCCGGGUGUUGUCCGUCUGUCUUCCUGUUGCUUCGUCUGCCCUCUUCACUGAGUGGUGGCCGAGUGACUGGAUCGUUUACUUUGAACAAAUUAGAGUGUUUCAAGCAGGUGCGUGCGCCAUGAAUACAUGAGCAUGGAAUAAUCGGAUAGGACUUCGGUUCUAUUUUGUUGGUUUCGAGAGCUGAAGUAAUGAUUGAUAGGGAUAGUUGGGGGUGCUAGUAUUCAGAGGCCAGAGGUGAAAUUCUUGGAUUCUCUGAAGACUCACUUAGGCGAAAGCAUU
rnacentral:rRNA from 1 species